GCACACCUGCCUGGCCAUAGAGACUACUGUGACGGAAAGGGAGGCAAGCAGGGUGCUUUCUGGGUGCUGUGUCUGCCUCACAGGACGCGAUUUUCUUUAAGACCAAGAGGGGCCUUGACUGCCCAGGUUGUAGUUGACUAACUGCAGCAGGUUGGACCUCAAGAAAGACUUUCUAUGCUCCUUUAUUACUCGACCUUGAGAUCUUUCCCGAAGGCUGUAUACACCACACUCCUGCGUGUGCACCUCUGCGUGCACAUAUGUGGCACAGCCAGGAUUCCUGCG